rnacentral:rRNA from 1 species
AGUGAACGCUGGCGGUAGGCCUAACACAUGCAGGUCGAACGGCAGCACAGUAAGAGCUUGCUCUUACGGGUGGCGAGUGGCGGACGGGUGAGGAAUACAUCGGAAUCUACUUUUUCGUGGGGAUAACGUAGGGAAACUUACGCUAAUACCGCAUACGACCUACGGGUGAAAGCAGGGGAUCUUCGGACCUUGCGCGAUUGAAUGAGCCGAUGUCGGAUUAGCUAGUUGGCGGGGUAAAGGCCCACCAAGGCGACGAUCCGUAGCUGGUCUGAGAGGAUGAUCAGCCACACUGGAACUGAGACACGGUCCAGACUCCUACGGGAGGCAGCAGUGGGGAAUAUUGGACAAUGGGCGCAAGCCUGAUCCAGCCAUACCGCGUGGGUGAAGAAGGCCUUCGGGUUGUAAAGCCCUUUUGUUGGGAAAGAAAAGCAGCAGGUUAAUACCCCGCUGUUCUGACGGUACCCAAAGAAUAAGCACCGGCUAACUUCGUG